rnacentral:rRNA from 1 species
UACGGGAGGCAGCAGUAGGGAAUAUUGGACAAUGGGGGAAACCCUGAUCCAGCGACGCCGCGUGAGUGAAGAAGUAUUUCGGUACGUAAAGCUCUAUCAGCAGGGAAGAAAAUGACGGUACCUGACUAAGAAGCACCGGCUAAAUACGUGCCAGCAGCCGCGGUAAU